rnacentral:misc_RNA from 1 species
UACGUAGGGUGCAAGCGUUAUCCGGAUUUACUGGGCGUAAAGAGUUCCGUCGGCGUCUAUGUAAGUCACUUGUCUAAACCCAGGGCUCAACUCUGGACUGGCAAGCGAAACUACAUAGAUUGAGUUUGUUCGGGGAAGCUAGAAUUCUCGGUGGAGGGGUGAAAUCCGUAGAUAUCGAGAGGAAUACCAGUCGCGAAGGCGAGCUUCUAGAACAACACUGACGCUCAGGGACGAAAGCUUGGGUAGCAAAAGGG